rnacentral:rRNA from 1 species
AACGAACGCUGGCGGCAGGCCUAACACAUGCAAGUCGAGCGGACCCUUCGGGGUUAGCGGCGGACGGGUGAGUAACGCGUGGGAAUAUGCCCUUCUCUACGGAAUAGUCCUGGGAAACUGGGGGUAAUACCGUAUACGCCCUUUGGGGGAAAGAUUUAUCGGGGAAGGAUUAGCCCGCGUUGGAUUAGGUAGUUGGUGGGGUAAUGGCCUACCAAGCCGACGAUCCAUAGCUGGUUUGAGAGGAUGAUCAGCCACACUGGGACUGAGACACGGCCCAGACUCCUACGGGAGGCAGCAGUGGGGAAUCUUAGACAAUGGGGGCAACGCUGAUCUAGCCAUGCCGCGUGAGUGAUGAAGGCCUUAGAGUUGUAAAGCUCUUUCAGCUGGGAAGAUAAUGACGGUACCAGAAGAAGAAGCCCCGGCUAACUCCGUG